GAUGAACGCUGGCGGCGUGCCUAAUACAUGCAAGUCGAGCGAACAGACGAGGAGCUUACUCCUCUGACGUUAGCGGCGGACGGGUGAGUAACACGUGGAUAACCUACCUAUAAGACUGGGAUAACUUCGGGAAACCGGAGCUAAUACCGGAUAACAUGUUGAACCGCAUGGUUCAACAGUGAAAGACGGUCUUGCUGUCACUUAUAGAUGGAUCCGCGUCGCAUUAGCUAGUUGGUAAGGUAACGGCUUACCAAGGCAACGAUGCGUAGCCGACCUGAGAGGGUGAUUGGCCACACUGGAACUGAGACACGGUCCAGACUCCUACGGGAGGCAGCAGUAGGGAAUCUUCCGCAAUGGGCGAAAGCCUGACGGAGCAACGCCGCGUGAGUGAAGAAGGUCUUCGGAUCGUAAAACUCUGUUAUUAGGGAAGAACAAAUGUGUAAGUAACUAUGCACGUCUUGACGGUACCUAAUCAGAAAGCCACGGCUAACUACGUG
rnacentral:rRNA from 1 species